rnacentral:rRNA from 1 species
AACGAACGCUGGCGGCAUGCCUAACACAUGCAAGUCGAACGAGACCUUCGGGUCUAGUGGCGCACGGGUGCGUAACGCGUGGGAACCUGCCCUUAGGUUCGGAAUAACUCCCCGAAAGGGGUGCUAAUACCGGAUAAUGUCUUCGGACCAAAGAUUUAUCGCCUUUGGAUGGGCCCGCGUUGGAUUAGCUAGUUGGUAGGGUAAAAGCCUACCAAGGCGACGAUCCAUAGCUGGUCUGAGAGGAUGAUCAGCCACACUGGGACUGAGACACGGCCCAGACUCCUACGGGAGGCAGCAGUGGGGAAUAUUGGACAAUGGGCGAAAGACUGAGCCAGCAAUGCCGCGUGAGUGAUGAAGGCCUUAGGGUUGUAAAGCUCUUUUACCCGGGAUGAUAAUGACAGUACCGGGAGAAUAAGCUCCGGCUAACUCCGUG